rnacentral:rRNA from 1 species
UGAACGCGAAGAACCUUACCAGGUCUUGACAUCCUCUGACAACCCUAGAGAUAGGGCUUCCCCUUCGGGGGCAGAGUGACAGGUGUGUGCAUGGUUGUCGUCAGCUCGUGUCGUGAGAUGUUGGGUUAAGUCCCGCAACGAGCGCAACCCUUGAUCUUAGUUGCCAUCAUUAAGUUGGGCACUCUAAGGUGACUGCCGGUGACAAACCGGAGGAAGGUGGGGAUGACGUCAAAUCAUCAUGCCCCUUAUGACCUGGGCUACACACGUGCUACAAUGGACGGUACAAAGAGUCGCAAGACCGCGAGGUGGAGCUAAUCUCAUAAAACCGUUCUCAGUUCGGAUUGUAGGCUGCAACUCGCCUACAUGAAGCUGGAAUCGAUAGUAAUCGCGGAUCAGCAUGCCGCGGUGAAUACGUUCCCGGGUCUUGUACACACGCA